rnacentral:rRNA from 1 species
AAUGAACGCUGGCGGUAGGCCUAACACAUGCAAGUCGAACGGCAGCACAGUAAGAGCUUUCUCUUACGGGUGGCGAGUGGCGGACGGGUGAGGAAUACAUCGGAAUCUACUUUUUCGUGGGGGAUAUCGUAGGGAAACUUACGCUAAUACCGCAUAUGUCCUACGGGUGAAAGCAGUGGAUCUUCGGACCUUGCGCGAUUGAUUGAGCUGAUGUCGGAUUAGCUAGUUGGCGUGGUAACGGCCCACCAAGGCGACGAUCCGUAGCUGGUCUGAGAGGAUGAUCAGCCACACUGGAACUGAGACACGGUCCAGACUCCUACGGGAGGCAGCAGUAGGGAAUCUUCCACAAUGGGCGAAAGCCUGACCCAGCAACGCCGCGUGGGUGAAGAAGGUCUUCGGGUUGUAAAGCCCUGUUAUUGGGAAAGAAAAGAAGCAGAUGAAUACCCGGAUGUUCUGACGGUACCCAAAGAGAAAGCAACGGCUAACUUCGUG